ACGAACGCUGGCGGCGUGCCUAACACAUGCAAGUCGAGCGGAGACAGUGAGUAGCUUGCUAUGAGCUGUUUUAGCGGCGGACGGGUGAGUAACGCGUGAGCAACCUUUCCCAGACAGGGGAAUAACACACCGAAAGGUGUACUAAUACCGCAUAAGACCACGGAAUCACAUGGUUCUGAGGUAAAAGAUUUAUCGGUUUGGGGUGGGCUCGCGUCCGAUUAGGUAGUUGGUGAGGUAACGGCCCACCAAGCCGACGAUCGGUAGCCGACCUGAGAGGGUGAUCGGCCACAUUGGGACUGAGACACGGCCCAAACUCCUACGGGAGGCAGCAGUGGGGAAUAUUGGGCAAUGGAGGAAACUCUGACCCAGCAACGCCGCGUGGAGGAAGAAGGUUUUCGGAUCGUAAACUCCUGUCCUUGGAGACGAGUAGAAGACGGUAUCCAAGGAGGAAGCCCCGGCUAACUACGUGCCAGCAGCCGCGGUAAUACGUAGGGGGCAAGCGUUGUCCGGAAUAAUUGGGCGUAAAGGGCGCGUAGGCGGCUCGGUAAGUCUGGAGUGAAAGUCCUGCUUUUAAGGUGGGAAUUGCUUUGGAUACUGUCGGGCUUGAGUGCAGGAGAGGUUAGUGGAAUUCCCAGUGUAGCGGUGAAAUGCGUAGAGAUUGGGAGGAACACCAGUGGCGAAGGCGACUAACUGGACUGUAACUGACGCUGAGGCGCGAAAGUGUGGGGAGCAAACAGGAUUAGAUACCCUGGUAGUCCACGCCGUAAACGAUGAGUACUAAGUGUUGGGGGUCAAACCUCAGUGCUGCAGUUAACGCAAUAAGUACUCCGCCUGAGUAGUACGUUCGCAAGAAUGAAACUCAAAGGAAUUGACGGGGGCCCGCACAAGCGGUGGAGCAUGUGGUUUAAUUCGAAGCAACGCGAAGAACCUUACCAGGUCUUGACAUCCACUUAAACUUACAGAGAUGUAAGGUGUUCUUGCACAAAGUGAGACAGGUUGUGCAUGGUUGUCGUCAGCUCGUGUCGUGAGAUGUUGGGUUAAGUCCCGCAACGAGCGCAACCCUUAUCUUCAGUUACUAACGCGUGAAGGUGAGGACUCUGAAGAGACUGCCGGGGACAACUCGGAGGAAGGUGGGGACGACGUCAAAUCAUCAUGCCCCUUAUGACCUGGGCUACACACGUGCUACAAUGGCCACGACAGAGAGAAGCGAAAUCGCAAGGUAGAGCGGAACUCAAAAAAGUGGUCCCAGUUCGGAUUGUGGGCUGCAACCCGCCCACAUGAAGUCGGAGUUGCUAGUAAUCGCGGAUCAGCAUGCCGCGGUGAAUACGUUCCCGGGCCUUGUACACACCGCCCGUCACACCAUGGGAGUUGGGAGUGCCCAAAGCCGGUGAGGCAACCGCAAGGAGCCAGCCGUCUAAGGCAAGACCAAUGACUGGGGUG
rnacentral:rRNA from 1 species